rnacentral:misc_RNA from 1 species
CGCACGCUCAGUAGACAAUCUUUCCUCAUUUCGUUAACACACUCACUCAGCACCUUUAAGCGAACCAAUAAUAUACAGAAGAAUUUCCCCAAAGUAACAAACAGCAACAGUAGCUAAAUGAAAUACCCAAAAUACCCUAAAACAAAUAGAUAAAUAAAUACGCAUAAAUUAUUUUCCAUUAUAUAAAAAAAGAGCUUGAAUAGAUCUGUGUGUUGUUCGCCGAUUAAAAUAUUAACCAACUAUAUAUUUAAUCAAAUCACUUUCAAUUAAACCGAAUGUCGACGUGCGUGUCUAGUGCAAAAAGCCAAAUCCCUCGUCUUUUUGUUGUGGCUGUCGUCGCCUGAAACUUUAAACGAAAGAAAAGUUUGGCGGCAAUGAAAACCCCUGGCUUUGAUAACAAACUGCGCGUAUAAGCUGCAAAGGAAAUGAGCACACAGGGAAAAGCCAUUGUGAAACUGUGAAAGUGUAAUCAAAUAAAUUCCCUCGCAGAAUAAUCCGAGUAGCAGAAUAAAGGUCAAUCGUAGAAAAUGUGCAUAAAAACCUGCAAAGACAUCAAAUUCGGUGACAAUAGCGACGGAGGCCAUGAAGGUGGACAGAAUAUAGUCAUCCGCACAUCCAAAUUGGGCUACGAGCACUUCCAACUUCAACUGCAGCUGCAGGCCAAGCAAAACAAACAAAAGCACAAAGGCUUUAAGUUGCCCAACUUUAAGAUUCUCAUGUGUUGUUGCUACUUCAUCAUCAUCGUGUUGAUGAUAUGAGAACGGAAUGAAACUCAAUCUCCAACCAAAAAUGCUCCAAUUAUAUAGUUAAAUGCCAACAUAUUGAAACCACAGAGGCGAACCAGAAAUAUUGUUCAACUUAACUCAUGACAAAGAUCUCAUUCGAAUGCUGUCUAAAGUAUAAACCAUCAGUUAUUUCAA